UUUUAGUUGCUAACCAGAGAAUUCUGCAUUUUUCAAAGAAAAGAGGAUAUUAGUAGCUGAAACAUAAGGGCUACUAUUAUAGUUGUAUUUGCCAUCUUGUUUUAGUUUUGACAGAAGACAAUGAUGGUAAACAAUAGAAUCUAUAAAAUUAAUUAUAAAGUCAAUGUUUUUCAGGAUAAUGAGGCUCUAACUCAACAUUCUAAUUUUAAUGGGCUGAAUAACUUGAAGUCAUUACAUAUGUCUAGAGACACAUAUCUGUAUAGGUUCAGAUUUUUUAAUACAAAAUUGAGAGAAUUUUUGAAAAAUUUUAGCCAAAAUGAACCAGAUCCAGUUGUAAUACAAGAAGACUGUAAGUUACUGGUAUGUGUGAUGCAUGUGCUGUGUGAAUCACCCUGGAAAGGAGUGUAAUGCCAUUGCUAAUCAAUUGUAUUACUGCCACCUUUGUGUUCUCUGCAUUUUUUAUUACUGCAUAUUUCUCCAUGGUCAGAAUAAAAAUCUAUUUAUUUGUCAAGCCAAGAGCCUAACUGGCAUCUUCUUUCAAGAUAGCAGGUAGAAUGUGCUAGUCUGUAAUGGACUGAGGAUUACUGUUCAAUUGCUUCUCUUCUCAAGAGGACAAAAAUAUUAGCAAUGACAAUUUUGAUUGUCUUUGGAUGAGUUCUGUUUAGAAUGUGGCUCAUCAUUGAAACAGAAGGAGCUGCCUCAAUUCGGAGUCCAUAAACAGUGUCACAGUGCAUACAGCACAAGGAGGCUUUUGAAAUUGUGAAAAUUCUUCUGCAAGGAAUUGUUUUUCUUGAGCCCUGUAAGCAGGCAAGAGCAGUCUGAGCUCUGUAUCUGAUAAGCUGUGUUUUGUGAUAGAGAUUCUGGAAAAGCAGAAACUGCUGUAGGAAAUAAUUGUGUUGAUGAUCUGCCUCUAGACCGUGUCUUUAUGGCUUUGCUGAACACACCAGUCCUUGCAAAUAUUCCUCAAGCACUUGCACGAAACAAAGCCCAAAACCUUUCCAGAGUGUGCUGGUGAUUCCUGGCUCUGUUGUUGAGGUGGCAGCCUGGCCAGGGGACUGAGAGCCAGCUCGUUGGUGUUGCAGAGUGAAGUGUUCAGGUAAUCAAUGAUGUUUAAAAUGAAAAAUGUUACUAGGAUAGCUUGAAGUUCAGCUGCUGCAGAAGAGAAGGGGAGUGGUGAUUCCUGUCUGUUUUCUUCCCCUUUCCUGUUUUCUCACUGCCACCCUCAAAAUCAGGUUGUGCAGCAACAGAAUUUUAUAUCAGAUCUUCCAUUUUGCUCCUUGCCAUUAUUUAGGAUCUAGUUGCAGCUGCAUUGUGUAUGCUUAACAAAUAAAAGCUUUCAGAGAACAUCAUUCAAUUCCCACCUCCUGCUAAGGGUUUUGGAAGUGUAAUACAUCACAGAAUCAAAAUGACUUUCACUAAAAGUUCAUGCUGUUUAAAUCACACCAAAUGUUAUAUUGAGCUGUAGCAUACAUAAUUCAUGUAUCAUUAACAGCUUCUACAAGUCUCUGGCUGCAUGGCAUACCAAUGAAUCAGAAUGUGUGGGUAUUUUUUUGGUACUUUCCUUUCCUUAAAUUGUAUUUAGAAGCAACAGCAUGUAAUUAUACUAACUUGGAAAAUCAAACAGGCAUGUAAUAAAUUAUGGUUUGUGAUUGACAUGGAAAAGUAAGUCUCUUUUCUUUCCUGAUGUUGAGUAAAGCAAGCUAUUUUAAACUGGAAAGACUCGAUAGAUUUUUUUGCUGCUGUUAGUAUUAUAAAUAAAAAUCCAUUUUCAUUGUUUACCAUGUGAGAAUUCUCCUACAGUCACUUGAUGCAUUACAUGGCUGAUGAAUCAACAGUGUCCUUUAAUAAGAAAGACAUGUUUGUCUGGUUAGUUUGAAUCUGUUUCCCAUGGUGCUGUCUCAACAAGGGAACAUGGUCAGGGAGAUGGCCAUGGCAUCACUGAUGUGUUGGCCUGGUACUUGUGUCCACACGAGAUGUUUGGCAUGUUAUAACAGUCCCAGUUCCACGGGUGUAUGUGGCUGUCAUCCCUGCCAUUAUCCUCCUCCUGUCACACAAGUGUCAGAGGCAGGACAUCUGCAAGUGGCAACAGGAGCUGCUCAAAUCCCCAUGGCAGAUUUAGGAAUGCUGCAGCAACGGACUGAAUCCAAACCAUAGGUCCUCCUGCAUGUGAGGAUUGUAAUUGUCAUUAAGCAUCAGAAGGCAGAGAAAUACCCUGCCUGUUCAGUACAGGAGGAUGUUGACUGGGUUGCUGGAUAACCCAGGAACAGUAGGGCUACCCUGUGAUCCAUGGUUGCCAACAAAAAGAAGCUUUCUGUCAAAAUUAUGGAACGCUCUUGGUUUUCCUGCUAUAGACUUCUCCAGUCAGUUUGGUUACCUUUGGGACAGCAUCUGAUUGUGAGCAUUAGCCCUUGUAUAACUGUAGCACAGCACAGGGGGAUCUGUGGGGACUGCAUCAUCUGUGGGAUAAUCUGGGUGUUGAUCUGCCACCGCCUUGUGAUGAAGGUGGUGACUGAGGCAAAGCUGCUCAGAACUGUAGGAAAUGUUUCCCUGAGUGGACAAGUUGGUGAGUUAGGAAGCUUAGCCUUGCUCAUAGGAAGCAUGUGCCUAGCACAGGCAAAUGAGUACUGACACACCUGUGUGACCCUCUGGGACAGAGGGAACUGCAGCAAAACCUCAGGGGGCUGGUAUUAAACUCCUAAAUGAUUUACUUUUGUGAAAGGGACGCUCAGAAAAUGAGGACAUCUAGAAAAAACAUAAACUGCUAAAAAUGUUGGUACCUUCUAAUUCAGCAAAUAUUUCUGCCUAUUUCAUUCCCCCUAAAGCUUCAUGUUUUUAAAGAGUAGCAGAAUGAUCAUCUCUCUGAGUCUGAGCAGAACAGAGCAGCUGCACUCUGUCCUUUCACUGCAGGGUCUUUGCUCCUUCUUUCCACUGAACUGUGGUUAAAUGAGCUGGAGCAAAUUACACUCACCCUUGGAAUCUGGGGAAAAAAAUUACCUUAUCAAACCUCGUUUUAAUUAAAUAUUGGGACCUACCAAAUAUUUUUACCAGGUACCUGUGACAUAACAAUAAAAAAUGGAAAACGUUCUUGUGAAAAAUGGUGUAGCUUUAAUAUCAUUAACAAUUAAUGGGACAGGCCUUUUAGUAUGUAAUUUACCUUUUAAAAAUAAAUUUGAGACUUAAUUUUUCUUUUAAUGCUGAUUUACCACUGUUUAUAACCAGGAAAAAUUAAGCAGUAAAAUAAGGGCUAGUGAAGCUGGGAGAAAUGUAUAAAUCAUGCCUAAAAGCUUUGUGGUCAGAGUUGCUGGCACUUCUAGCAGGACUGUGUGUUACACUGCAAGUGAGGAGCCCUCUUGGGCAUGGAACUAUUUGUUCAAGUUCUUAGGUCUGACUUUUCUCUGUACAAUUCAAGCUGUGUUUAAGUCACGUCUGGUGUAACCAACCCUGCCAUCUGUAAAAGCAGAUCUGCUCCACUUCAGCCCCGGUGUCUGGGAUGGGGAGGGCAGUGGGGCCAUGGCUGAGGGGCAGCAGAGGCAGGGGCUGCAGCUGAAAACACCGUUUUCCUCUCCCCAGAGCUUUGCUUGGCGUUCACCUGUGUGACUCUGUUAUUUAGGCUGUAAGCAAACAUAUGACACGUUAAUGAGUUCUCUGUCUGGUUGGUUCCUUCUGAAAUGUAUGAUUCCCAGUUUAGAAGCAUCAUCUCAGCAUUUAAAUGAAUCUCUAAUUGUAGGCAGGUACCAUAUGUAUCUGCAUACAGGUGUGUACAAAUACAAAAAGGUUUUUAACUGCUUUCAGUCACAGCUCUCAAAGGUAUGGCACAGGCAGCCCCAGACUGCACCAUCACCUGGUUUACCUGGGCGUGAAUCCACAUGGUAUAUCCCUGGUGAAAAAGAGCCUGAGUAUUUAGAACAAGUAAAAUUCACUAAUAAUCACUAUUGAAUUUGCUAUAGGUUUUGCAUGGAAUUUCUGUGUUUUUUUGCUGGGAGCUACGAGUGUGUCUGUGUUGUAAAGAGGGAGAGAUGCUGACUAGAUUUGCACCUCGGGAUUAGGCACAAGAAUAAUGUGCUGGGGUAGUCCCUGCCCUGAGGACCUAUAGCUUAAAAGACUGAGGGAGGUGGGGUGACAAAAGCAUUUAUGUUCGUUGUAUAGUUUGUGUCUUCAUCAGCUUUGGGCUUUGUUCCAUGAGUGAGAACAGAACUAGGACUUUGUGUGUUUUAGAAAGGUCAGCCCUCCUCUUCCAGUCCUGAUAACUGUUCAAGCCUGAUUUUGCAUACUUGAUUGCAGAAUUAUUUUCAGCUGAGUUUCUCUUUUCUGUUGGAGUUUGAAGAAAGUUGCUCUAGGUGUAAAAUAUCCACAAUGCUGAGAAGAAAAGGAGAUGUUUUCACCUAGCAGGCAAGUCCUCUCUGAUUUUCCCCACAAUAUCUGUGUCUGUGUGCAUGCGUGUGUUUGUGUUGUGUUUGGUGAGGGGUGUGUGUCAAGAAAUCAGAAGUUUGCCAGGGAAGUAAUGCAGGUGUUGGGGAAGUGAGUGUGAGUGUCCUAAUGGCAGACUUGCCUUUCCUCACAUACCUCCUGCAGUACUUUGGGAUUGUGGAUGUCAUAGGUUGAGAUUGCCCCCCCCCGAGAGGCUGGGGGGCUCGGAGGUGAUCGGGUGCCAGGGCAGUGUUCCCUGGAGAGCCAGUCACUGUCCAUGUUGUUCGCUUCUGCUCAAAAUCACAUAUCACAGCACCAGAAGCUGUUGGCAGUUCUGUCUUGGUUGUUGUGCUGUUGGUGUCUGCUGUGUGUAGGUGUUGAAGGCCAGGGGGUGGCUGGGCUCCUUCUCUCCCCCUCCAGGGGGAAGAGGGGAGCCCUGCAGCCCCCUGACUCUGCCUAGGCCAGAGUUGGAGACAGCAUUGAAUGAGUGCCUGUUUGUGAGGGAUGGACUCACAAACAACUGGUAAGUGGGAGGGAGAGGCAGGCCCUGCGGCCAGGCCCUCUUCUCCUCCCCACCUUCGCAGCCAGGCUGCAGAGCAGGGCUGGUUUUCCCUCUCGCUGUCCAGUGAGAGUGGAUUGAGGCUCAGCACUGCAGCAGAGCCAAGUGGACAGGCUGGAGGAGGCUCCAUUGCUGGGGAGACAAUCCCAGGCAAGAACUGGAGACGGACCCCAGAGAGAGAGAGGGGCCCAGAGGAUGUCCCUGCCAUGAACUAAAACGCAGGACAGCCGAAAACCCGAGGAGAAAUCAACAUUCCAGGACACAGACCCUUGAUAAGCUGAACUACACUGCAGCAGCCUACAACCGAGGUAUGAGAGGGAGAAAUCACACAGCAGCAGAAGAGCAAGGACUCAAAGCUAUCUUCUUGGACUUCAUGAGGAGAGAGACUGCAACAAACAACUAGAACUUGGUGAGGGGGGAGUGUUCAGGAGCCCAGAACACUCCCACGGCAAAGACUGGGUAAAGUAUCAGCCUUGAAAAGCUGCUCCUGGACUAAAGUUAAAGGAGGGGCUUGAAAGGACUGAGUGACAAAAAUGUAAAUGUAUAUAUAUAGUUGCUUUUAGUUUGUACAGUAUGUUUAUUUGUGUAAAUAAAUGUAUAUACUUCCCCCUUCCCCUACAGAAGCCUCUGGCCUGAAAGUUUCUCUCUGGUGUUAGGAUAAAUUGUGGGAAGGGGUGGGGGGAAGCCUGGAAAUUGGAUUUUGGAUUUCUAAUGUGGCUCAAACUGCCACAGUAGACCAGAGUUAAAAACACUGGUACUGUGAACCCCACUAAUGAGAAUGUCUCAUUUUCAAAAAGAAAUAUGAAUCUGUAAACCUUAGGCAGAAUAGAAUCAGGGGUGUAAAUGUCUGUUGUGAAGGGGCUCAGCCUCUAAAGGUGUUUGAGGUUGGAUCCAGUGCUGUUCUCAUAUGCUGUAGUAGGCUGACCCUAGUCUUAAGUGCCUGGCUUUGUGCCAGAUGUGUGUUGCUGUUAGUGGGUGGUACCAAUAAAGUACAUUAUUCGUACUUUAUUU